GCCUGUUUAGCUCAGUUGGUAGACCGCAAGGCUCUUAACCUUGUGGUCGUGGGUUUGAGCCCCACGGUGGGUA
rnacentral:tRNA from 1 species